UUGGCUUAAGUUUUGGAUCCUUAUGGGGGAAACCUAUCUUCCUGAUGACCUAUUGGUUACUAGUCAGAGUUCAGGGCAUCCCCCUUUGAUCUUCUGAAUUUUAUUGUUUCUUAGAAUGCAGAUUGGGGUCACUUCCUCCCGUAUCUUUAUGGCCUCGACAUUUUGGGAGACAGGGUGUCUGCCUAAAGCCUUUCAACAUAACAGAAAUGAGGGAAAUGUGUGAAGGUUCAUGAACAUCAGUUUCCUUGUUAUCCCCUUGGUUUUCAAAUGUAAGGAAAUAAAGAUGAGAGAAACUGGGAGCCCUUUUUCAUAAGGUUUCAACAAUAUAACAUCAACCAUGUUUAUUAUAUUAACAAUAUCAUCAACAAUUUAAAAGCACCACGUAGUCCCAAGCACCCCCAAAAUUUAAACUGGUAUUGAAUACUGUCACUGCAAAAAAAAAAAA